rnacentral:rRNA from 1 species
GAUGAACGCUGGCGGCGUGCCUAACACAUGCAAGUCGAGCGGCAUACACCGGAACGAAUCUUCGGAAGAGCGAAGGUGUAGAGAGCGGCGGGCGGGUGAGUAACGCGUAGGCAACCUGCCCCAUACAGGGGGACGAGCCUCGGGAAACCGGGAUUAAAACCCCAACUAACGCCAGGGUUCCACAUGGAGCUUUGGCCAAAGAUUCAUCGGUAUGGGAUGGGCCUGCGUCUGAUUAGCUAGUUGGCAGGGUAACGGCCUACCAAGGCGACGAUCAGUAGCCGGCCUGAGAGGGCAACCGGCCACAUUGGAACUGAGACACGGUCCAAACUCCUACGGGAGGCAGCAGUGGGGAAUAUUGCACAAUGGGCGCAAGCCUGAUGCAGCAACGCCGCGUGAGCGAUGAAGGCCUUUGGGUCGUAAAGCUCUGUCCUUGGGGAAGAAAGAAAUGACGGUACCCUUGGAGGAAGCCCCGGCUAACUACGUGCCAGCAGCCGCGGUAAAAGUGUGUG